AACGAACGCUGGCGGCAGGCUUAACACAUGCAAGUCGAACGGUUGUAGCAAUACAGCAGUGGCGCACGGGUGAGUAACGCGUGGAUAUCUGCCUUUUGGUUCGGAAUAACUCCGGGAAACUGGAGCUAAUACCGGAUGGUUCCUACGGGAUAAAGAUUUAUCGCCAAAAGAUGAGUCCGCGUACGAUUAGCUAGUUGGUGAGGUAAUGGCUCACCAAGGCGACGAUCGUUAGCUGGUCUGAGAGGACGAUCAGCCACACUGGGACUGAGACACGGCCCAGACUCCUACGGGAGGCAGCAGUGGGAAUAUUGGACAAUGGGGGCAACCCUGAUCCAGCCAUGCCGCGUGAGUGAUGAAGGCCU
rnacentral:rRNA from 1 species